AGAUGAAGGAGCAGAGGUUAGAGAUGGAUGGAACUUGCCUUACAGGAAGAUGGAAAAAUGGACUGGACAGUGCAAAUGGAAGGGGGAAUAAUUUGGACCUGGAAAAUUUCCUGUGAGGACUCAAGGAGCACAUGGCCUGCUGAAAUCCAUGAACUACUAGACUGCCUCUAUUCACCUGAUGUCCUGCUUUUCACCCAGCCUCUUCACCGCAGCCUUUAUGAUGGAGAAUAGAGGAGGAGGAGGGACACAGAGCCUCUUCUAACUCCAGCCACAUUUACCUGGGCCUUGUUUCUAGGCAGUGGAAAGCCAGGAAGGAGAGUCAAGAAAGGUACAGAUGAGUCAUCAAUUCCCUUUGUGCUGCUAGAACAAGUGUCAGAGGGAAGCCAUGUACCUGUCUGCCCAUUGACACUCAGACAACCAUUGUACUAUAAGAAGCACUUGGCUGCCUGACAAAGAAUGGAAAAUAAACAUGGCAAGGCCAAGAUGUCCAAGAUGAGUCAACUGGGCAGUGGUGGCAGGAGAGCAACAAUGAAGAGUCCUAGCGUUUUGCACAGCUUGAAUAUUGAAUUGAACCCUGCAGUAUGCUGGGCCCCAGGGAUGCAGAGAUGACGCACUGCAUGCCCUGCCUUGGAGAAGAAGUCAAGUGGUGAAACCAGGCAAGUGCCAUGCCAUUAGAGUGCCCUGUGGUCAAGAUGUACUCCAAAAGGAUCUGAGACUAAAUAUCAGUGUGUGAGCAGCUCUACUUCCUACUGGAGGCACAAGCUGGUUCCUAAAGGAUGACAAGGCACUUGCCCAGGGCAAAGGCCUUGAAAUAGGUGGCCAGCAAGUGACAACUGGGUCAUGGCAACCCAAAUGUGUCCAGAUGCCAGGAGAGGCUUAGUCAAAUACAAGUCGGCAUACAAAUUGAGUGUCCUCUUUGAAGCUUAGAGCAGUUGAGCAGUUAGGGUAAAUCUUCUUAACUUGAGGCAUGCAAGGCCCUACAGAUCCCCUCUCCUCGCAUCUGGCUCCAGUCACCCUUUCCAACCUCAUUGCCAUUACUGGCUCCUAUCCUACCCUCUACCCACUUCACUAAACACACCCUGUAUUUUCCUGCCUUUGUGCCUUUCCAGGUACAGUCUGAUCACCCAGAGUCCUCUUCUCCAUCUCUGCCUCUGGUAGAGUCCAGUCAAUCAAUUAAGGUCAAAUUCCUCCUCCAAUAGACCCGACCCUUGGGGCAUAUCCACCAUCUCUACCCACAUGCCACCAGAAAGAAUCAAUCUCUCCUUCCCUUUUGUGCCCAGAACACUUAGUACCUCUGUUAAGAACUUGACACAACCUGCCUUGUGUAGCCAAAUGGUUAAGAACACAAGCUGUGGUUUCAAGAGAGCAGACUUAGAAACACCACCUGUGUGACCUCGGGUAAAUUUACUAACCAUUCGAGCCCUCAGUGUCAUGAUCUGUAUAAUGAGAAUGAUAAUAGUGUCUACUUACUGGAGUUAUUUUUAGGAUUAUAUGAGAUAAUGCAUCUAAAGCAUAGUGCCUGACACAUAAUAAGCAUUCAAUAAAUUGUAGCUCAUUUUGUUAUAUGGCCAUGUUGUCCCCAA
rnacentral:lncRNA from 1 species